ACUUCAGGCCUAACACAUGCAAGUCGAGCGCGCCUUUCGGGGUGAGCGGCGGACGGGUUAGUAACGCGUGGGAAUAUGCCCUUUGGUACGGAAUAGCCUCUGGAAACGGAGAGUAAUACCGUAUGAGCCCUUCGGGGGAAAGAUUUAUCGCCAAAGGAUUAGCCCGCGUUAGAUUAGGUAGUUGGUGGGGUAAUGGCUUACCAAGGCGACGAUCCAUAGCUGGUCUGAGAGGAUGAUCAGCCACACUGGGACUGAGACACGGCCCAGACUCCUACGGGAGGCAGCAGUGGGGAAUAUUGGACAAUGGGGGCAACCCUGAUCCAGCCAUGCCGCGUGAGUGAUGAAGGCCCUAGGGUUGUAAAGCUCUUUCAGCGAGGAGGAUAAUGACGUUACUCGCAGAAGAAGCCCCGGCUAACUUCGUGCCAGCAGCCGCGGUAAUACGAAGGGGGCUAGCGUUGUUCGGAAUCACUGGGCGUAAAGCGCACGUAGGCGGACUGAUUAGUCAGGGGUGAAAUCCCGGGGCUCAACCCCGGAACUGCCUUUGAUACUGUCAGUCUUGAGUCCGAGAGAGGUGAGUGGAACUCCGAGUGUAGAGGUGAAAUUCGUAGAUAUUCGGAAGAACACCAGUGGCGAAGGCGGCUCACUGGCUCGGUACUGACGCUGAGGUGCGAAAGCGUGGGGAGCAAAACAGGAUUAGAUA
rnacentral:rRNA from 1 species